GGCUCGGUGGUCGAGGGGGUUUGAAAAAGGAUUCUCGCUUUGGGUGCGAGAUUCUCGGUCCCGGGUUCAAAUCCCGGCCGAGCCC